rnacentral:rRNA from 1 species
UACGGGGGGGGCAAGCGUUGUUCGGAAUUACUGGGCGUAAAGGGCUCGUAGGUGGCCAACUAAGUCGGACGUGAAAUCCCUCAGCUUAACUGGGGAACUGCGUCCGAUACUGGAUGGCUUGAGUUUGGGAGAGGGAUGCGGAAUUCCAGGUGUAGCGGUGAAAUGCGUAGAUAUCUGGAGGAACACCGGUGGCGAAGGCGGCAUCCUGGACCAACACUGACACUGAGGCGCGAAGGCCAGGGGAGCGAACGGG